GCAUAAUAUCCGAUAGAGUUAGUGUGUCUUUGUUAGGCCAGUGUCUCAAUGAUAAAUCCUCUACAUUGUUUUCUAAUAUAUUUAAUUUACUUGUUCUAGGAAUUAGAUAAGUUAAGCCCAACAUUUUCUUAAUUUCGGCCCAUGUUUCCAAAGAGUGAGCCAACGAUAUUAAACAAUUAGGCAAAUCCCUUGAGAGCUUCCCAGGAUCUGACCAUAUAUAAGAAUAGAGACUAGAUGCAUGUAGAGCUUCAGAUUCCAUAUUAUACCAAGGUUCAGAAAAAAAAGUUCUGUUUGAUUUAGAUUUUCCUAUCCCCUGCUAUGUUAAUAGCUUGCUAGACCCUGCAAGAGCCUCCUGCAAGUUCAAUUUACAGAGAAAGAGAUACAAUUUUUUAAGGUAAAUUGCAUCUGAUUGAAGGCGAAAUCAUUUAUUUUUUUCAUGAAGGCUGUGUCAAUCAGAGCCAGGGGAGGUGUGGCAAGGGCUGCAUAAACAGAAACAAAGUGAUUUAACUCCUAAAUGGCAGUAAAUUGAACUUUGAAACCUGAGAAGCAUGAUCUAUACACUAAAACUGCUUCAUUAAGCUAAAGUUGCUU